rnacentral:lncRNA from 1 species
AGAGUGCAUUUGUUUCUAACCCGAAAUUUUGCCAUCGAUGACUAUCGUUUAGUAAACGUUAAGCUGCUAGAAACAAAUACAUCGUUUAAUAAACUUUAUCGACCCCGCGUAGUCAGACAGAAAUAGAUUACACUCACGCACUGUAAACAAACAGGUAAAAGUGCGGGAAAUAAAUAACCAGGACAUUAUGAAAACAACACGUGCUCGUAAUUAUUUAAACGACAGAUGCAGAAACAAAUUUAUCGUUUACACGUCUCAACGAUAAACGAUCAACGACUAC